UUACAGGUGAUCGAGUCGCCGGUUGAUAUAUACGUCAGGGAGUAGUACGAUCAACCCUGCAUGAACCAUGCGUGUUGGUGAUACUCCUCUAAGGAUUCGAUUGAUUCUUUUUGUGUGUUCUUGCGCGAGAUCUAAGAUUCUUGGGCGCCAAGUGGAAGAUAUAUACUUUGGGUUCGUUCGUAUAGGCAGAGCUGCUUGAUAGCUAAUGGUUCUGUAUUUGUUCUAGCGUCAAUGCUCUUUUUAACUCUAGGGACAACUUACUCGGCUUGAUUCAUAGUCAAUCUUACUAGCUACUCAGAGUACUAGAGCAGCAUGCACGUCAAAAAAUACGAGCAAGGUCUUGGGGGUUGGGACACAGUUAACAGUGACCAAGCAAAGGCCGGUCCAUAUAUUUGCUGAGUCGUAUGCUAGUAUCAAUGUUGCAGUACCAGUGAUAACCUGAGAGUUGUUGCAAAUUUCUUUCAUUCGGCUUCAUUUGUUUAUGCUGCUUGAGGUUCCCUUUUGCGGUGCAGGCAACAGCAGAGGACGAAUUCGGAAUUCGCUUGUGGGAUCUCAGAAUGCUUAAGCAUCCACUACUGCAUGUCUGCACCGAUCUGUUCCUAGAUAGUGCUCAGGUCGAUCAGUGUGGUCAACCGGAAGCAGCCGCACGACGGCGAUGUCGUCCGGAUCGUGAGCACCAGGAGCAGACCGCAGCUCGCCGCCACAUUCCAGUGCUACAAGGAACAACAUGGCAGUGACAUAGAAGAUGUUUAUUAAUUAUCACCUCUUUUUGUGUCUAACUAAUAGUAGCAAUAUACAGUAUAUCUGUCAAGUAUCCGAUUCACGGACCAACUGGUGAACUGAAGCGCUUGUUCUUGUUGCUGCUGCUGUUGUUGCAGGACAUGAAGCAGUACAGCAGCAGCCAGUUUGCAAGGAUGCUCAAGAUUGCUGUCUGGUGCCUCACAUCUCCUGAAAAGCACUUUUCAGAGGUACGCCACGACACGCAGAUCAACCUCACCCUGCGCACCCGCUGGUGGCUGCACUGCAUCACGCGCAGCCGCGAGUGCGACGCCAGGCUCGUCGUGUCCAUGGGGGAACAGGUGAAGUGUCCAGCUAUGCUUCUCACUGACUAGUCACACUGGCAAGUCGAACGCGCAUGGAGAGACGACCCUCGUUACCACUCUGUACGCUGAUCUUGAUUUGCGACUGGGGUGUGCAGUACGUCCGCAGGUGCCACGGAUCUGGAGCCUGAUGUUGCUGCUGAAGAGCAGAGCGAUUAGGCUCCCCCAAAAUGACAUCUAGAGGGCUUUACUCAUCAGGUGAGUUGAUGUUUGCCCGAGCGCUUUGACUAGCAAUGCUUUUUUUUCUGAGAGAGAGAGGUGAUAUUGAUGCUGUGGUUGCUGUUUCGUGCUUUGUGAGAUGGUAGUUGGUAGUGGGAUAGGCUGUUGUCCUUGUUGGGUAGAAUGUUUGCCUUGCCCUGAUCUGAUCUGUGUGUUGUGCCUGUGUUUCGGUGCUGGUAAGAUGCCAGAAUCCAGCAACAGAUGUGAGGCUUGCCACUGAAUAAUUUUGUUGACCAACUUUUUUAUAAACAGAACACAUGGAAGAAAAGGCCUAUGCAGUAUUGCUUAGUCUAUACUUAUACUGUAUAGAUUUUACAACCUGAUAUGAUCAGCGGAGAAUAAAACAGUGCAAGUGCCUGCCAGUAGCACCAUGAUCAACUUUGCAUACUAGUAGCUGCUAUACACAUACAUAUUUCACCGUGAGUAGUUAUUCUAGGCAUAGAAGCUGAACACAUCUUCAACAGUUAUUCUAAACACAUAUUUUGAUGUGUAACCUGUUAAUGAAGUAUUGGUUGAUUGUGAUUCCAAGCAUAGAUCUCUUGGCGUUACUACUUGUUACUGCAAGCAUGUUGUGUUGACAUACUGCAUUUCGAUCUGAAUAUGUUGGCAAGAGUGUCUAAAUUAAUUUAGUAUAUAUGCACGUUUCAUCUUAGUCUCUUAGUAUGGUUGGAUGUGUGCUUCAGGGGGAUAAACUGCUAUCUAUGCUCCUUAUUGGCUCUGAAGUUUUAUGUCUGUCCAGUGUGUAAGGAGCUCUAAUUUCUCUUUCUAGCGCCUAAAUUAUGCCAUGUGUACUAGGGGGAGCUAGAUGUAUGAUGUACGACAACGGGAAUGGGACCUGGUGAGGAAAGGAACCUACUGGGUCAACCAGAUCGAGUCCCUUCUCUACAUGUUGGUUUUGCUCCCUUGCACAGCAGUAAAUGCCUCUACAAACAUGAUACUAUAUACAUGCAUGUCAUAGUCAGCAGUUAGCGUUGGCAAUGAAGUGAACCAUGAGAUUACAUUUUGCUUUGUCUUGUUGAUAAUGCCAUAUGUCUUGCAAUCAGACUUCAUUUCUGUUUGUUAUGGUAAUAUUUUCAUAGUGCUAUAGAACAUCUAGUAACAAGAAUAUGAAAUUGUAAAUAGCAAAAAAUUCUUGUCUUGUGCGGUCUAAGUCCAAGGAAAUAAAAAAAAUUCUCUUAUACAAUUUCAUCUACAUCGAAUUUAUAUAUCAUAGUGCCUUUUAUUUCUUUAGUUUGAUUGUUUCCCUUGUAUUCAAUAUGCUUCUAAUGGCUGAUCCUUACAUUUUUGAUGUGGCAUCUUUUUUUCAUAGGUGUUGUGUGUUUUGUAUAGGAACACAAUUUUUGUAUUCUGUUUUGUUGUAUUUAUGAUUUGAUAGUUUUGUAUAGGAACAUGUGAUACUAUUUUGUAGGGCUUUAUGGCCUGUGAUGUAAACAUAUUUAGUGAUGAAUUAUGAAAUUAUUUGCAAAAUUUA